UUUACCACGGAACGCAGCAGUGAGGAAUAUUGGUCAAUGGGCGCGAGCCUGAACCAGCCAAGUCGCGUGAGGGAAGACGGUCCUAUGGAUUGUGAACCUCUUUUGUCGGGGAGCAAAAGACGCUACGUGUGGCGUUCCGAGAGUACCCGAAGAAAAAGCAUCGGCUAACUCCGUGCCAGCAGCCGCGGUAAUACGGAGGAUGCGAGCGUUAUCCGGAUUUAUUGGGUUUAAAGGGUGCGCAGGCGGAAGAUCAAGUCAGCGGUAAAAUUGAGAGGCUCAACCUCUUCGAGCCGUUGAAACUGGUU
rnacentral:rRNA from 1 species